rnacentral:rRNA from 1 species
AGCAGCCGCGGUAAUUCCAGCUCCAAUAGCGUAUAUUAAAGUUGCUGCAGUUAAAAAGCUCGUAGUUGAAUUUCGGGACCAUCAUGUCGGUCGUGCCUCGGUACGUACUGGCAUUGUUGGCUUCUCCCUUCUGACGAACCAUGAUGUCAUUUACUUGGUGUCGUGGGAAAUCAGGACUGUUACUUUGAAAAAUUAGAGUGUUUAAAGCAGGCUCACGCUUGAAUACAUUAGCAUGGAAUAAUGAAAUAGGACGUUUGAUUCUAUUUUGUUGGUUUCUAGGAUCGACGUAAUGAUUAAUAGGGAUAGUUGGGGGCAUUAGUAUUCAAUUGUCAGAGGUGAAAUUCUUGGAUUUAUUGAAGACUAACUACUGCGAAAGCAUUUGCCAAGGAUGUUUUCAUUAAUCAAGAACGAAAGUUAGGGGAUCGAAGACGAUCAGAUACCGUCGUAGUCUUAACCAUAAACUAUGCCGACUAGGGAUCGGAUAA